AAGUUUAGGUUAACCAAACCAGAGGCCUUCAAAGCCCC
rnacentral:tRNA from 1 species